UUGAAAAUCAUCAGUUGGAACUGCCGGGGACUCGGGAAUGGCCCGGCAGUUCGCUCCCUCCUCGAGAUGGGGAGGACAGAGGAUCCCGACAUUAUAUUUCUUUCAGAGACAAGAUUAACGUCGAAGGAGUUGGAUAGGUUCAGGUGGAUGCUGGGGCUUGCGAACAUGUCAGUUUGGGACCCGGUGGGGAGAAGCAGGGGUGUUGCCAUGCUCUGGAGG
rnacentral:rRNA from 1 species